rnacentral:rRNA from 2 species
UGGGGAAUAUUGGACAAUGGGCGCAAGCCUGAUCCAGCCACGCCGCGUGAGUGAUGAAGGCCCUAGGGUUGUAAAGCUCUUUCACCGGUGAAGAUAAUGACGGUAACCGGAGAAGAAGCCCCGGCUAACUUCGUGCCAGCAGCCGCGGUAAUACGAAGGGGGCUAGCGUUGUUCGGAUUUACUGGGCGUAAAGCGCACGUAGGCGGACUUUUAAGUCAGGGGUGAAAUCCCGGGGCUCAACCCCGGAACUGCCUUUGAUACUGGAAGUCUUGAGUAUGGUAGAGGUGAGUGGAAUUCCGAGUGUAGAGGUGAAAUUCGUAGAUAUUCGGAGGAACACCAGUGGCGAAGGCGGCUCACUGGACCAUUACUGACGCUGAGGUGCGAAAGCGUGGGGAGCAAACAGG